UACGUAGGGACCAAGCGUUGUUCGGAUUUACUGGGCGUAAAGGGCGCGUAGGCGGCGUGGUAAGUCACUUGUGAAAUCUCUGAGCUUAACUCAGAACGGCCAAGUGAUACUGCUGUGCUAGAGUGCAGAAGGGGCAAUCGGAAUUCUUGGUGUAGCGGUGAAAUUCGUAGAUAUUCGCAAGAACACCAGUGGCGAAGGCGGCUCACUGGCCCGAUACUGACGCUGAGGCACGAAAGCGUGGGGAGCAAACAGG
rnacentral:rRNA from 1 species